AGUAAUUCUCUUACAACUGAUCCUGUCAGCAGCCAUUACAGGCCCUGAAGGGGCCAGAAAGUGAAGACCAUCAGGACCACAAGGUAGACCAUCUGAGAGUUCAAUGGGGACAUCAACACAACACUUCUUCCCUUCUCUAGACUUUUGGUAGGGGGACUACACUUCUCAUCAGAAUGAGGUUUUGCAUAUCUCAUGAGAAAACUGCUGCUGUGCAUUGUGUAAGGAUGACCUUUGGCAUUGGCAAGGAUUUGUUUUUCAACCAGAAACAAAAUUAUAUUAAAAGAAGCAGACUAUACGGAAUAUUUUGGAAGCAAUCAGCUAAGGGUCAUGAGGUGCAACUUGAUUUCAAAGAAAUAAAAUUUUCUGAUUUUGAAAUCAUUUUUGUGGAACAGUUUUGGAAUGAUUCAACUUCUCCAAAAUGAAACAGAGAGUAUCAAAGGGAGAUGGAGAAUCCUGAUACUAAAUACAGCACAAUAGAAAAAGAAAUAUAUGAAGAUUCUACUGUGAACCACAGCAUGAAAUCACAGAAAUCUCAGGACUGAAGUGAGAUUUCAUUAUCAACUCAAACAAAAAGACCCCAUCUUAUUAAAGAGAUAAAAGGCAAUAUAUUUAAUGUACAUUUGAUUUUUAAAAAAAUUGCAAGUGACUAGAAGGGGAAAAGAGAUUUUAUACACUGCUCUGAGCUUUUUCUUUUGUUGUCAUGACAAACGCCAAAGCUACAUGUAAGUCUGCAUUGAUGCCAGCAUCUGAAUUCAUCCCUAAUGAGUAAAGACGAAAAUGGUAAAUAUAUUGGGAUUUUUUGACAAAAGAUGUUUUCUGCUCAUUUGGGUUGAAAAAGAACAGAUAAAAAAGUGAGCCCUAUAUAUAAAAUCAAUUUAUAAUUUAACAAUUGAUGUAUCAAGUUCUUUAAUUCUAAAAGCUCAACUAAGCUUCCAAAAACAUUCCACUCAGAGACUUUAAAUUCUGUAUCUCAGGGAUUUCAACUAGCAGAAAAUUAAAAAUAAAUAUUGUUAUCCUACUUCAAAGAUACACAAACUGUUACAACUGGUAGAGGUCCAGUUUGGACAUCUAGAAUUAGCAUGGGCAGCUAAGUACUCAAAUUGAGACUGAGCACCACAGCAUAAAAACAAAUCAGUGUAACAAAAAAAACAUGCAAACCCUGGGUUUAUAAAUGCAGUCUUAUUGGGAAAAGCUAUUUUAAAAACUUUCUAGUGUCUCUAUACUUGUAAAUAAAGGAACUAAUCUAGCUAGCAUACUGAAGACU